UAGGGAAUAUUGCACAAUGGGCGCAAGCCUGAUGCAGCGACGCCGCGUGAGUGAUGAAGGCCUUCGGGUCGUAAAGCUCUGUUGUAUGGGAAGAAAAAACUAUGGCUAAUAUCCAUAGUCUUGACGGUACCAUAUCAGAAAGGACCGGCUAACUUCGUGCCAGCAGCCGCGGUAAGACGAGGGGUCCUAGCGUUGUUCGGAAUCACUGGGCGUAAAGCGUAUGUAGGCGGGCUUUUAAGUCGGGUGUGAAAUCCCACGGCUCAACCGUGGAAUUGCAUUCGAAACUGGAAGUCUUGAGUAUAAAAGAGAUUGAUAGAAUACCUAAUGUAGUAAUGAAAUACAUAGAUAUUAAGUAGAAUACCAAUGGCGAAGGCAGCCAAUUGACCCAACACUGACGCUGAGAUACGAAAGCGUGGGGAUCAAACAGG
rnacentral:rRNA from 1 species